UAGUAGUCUGUCCUGGACCUGUGGCCAUCCCCUCCCACAGGGCACCGUCACUUUCCACAUGGGGAAUCCUAACUACAGAGGAAACAGAUAAGGAGGCAGGAAACAUAACCUACAAAGAGAAAAUCGUAACAAAACGUGACAAAAGAGCACUGUAAAGCUCACUGAACAAGCAGAGUGAACAGCCCCGCAGCACAC